rnacentral:rRNA from 1 species
UACGAAGGGGGCUAGCGUUGCUCGGAAUCACUGGGCGUAAAGCGCACGUAGGCGGCUUCUUAAGUCAGGGGUGAAAUCCUGGAGCUCAACUCCAGAACUGCCUUUGAUACUGAGAAGCUUGAGUUCGGGAGAGGUGAGUGGAACUGCGAGUGUAGAGGUGAAAUUCGUAGAUAUUCGCAAGAACACCAGUGGCGAAGGCGGCUCACUGGCC